GAGGAAGGCAAGCGUUGUCCGGAAUUAUUGGGCGUAAAGCGUGCGCAGGUGGUUUUGUAAGUGACAUGUUAAAUCCCAAAGCUCAACUUUGGAACCGCGUGUCAUACUGCUAAACUUGAGGCUAGUAGAGGCAGAUGGAAUUCCCGGUGUAGUAGUAAAAUGCUCUGAUAUCGGGAGGAACACCAAUAGCGAAGGCAGUCUGCUGGGCUAUGCCUGACACUGGUGCACGAAAGCGUGGGGGUAGCGAUCGGGAUUAGAUACCCCGGUAGUCCACGCCGUAAACGAUGGAUACUAGGGGCUGGGAGUAUCGACCCCCCUCUCGGUCUCGAAGCUAACGCGUUAAGUAUCCCGCCUGGGUAUACGGCCGCAAGGCUA
rnacentral:rRNA from 1 species